GUCGUGGAUGGAACUAGGUGGCUCAGCCUUCCAAAUGCUCGGCACUGUGGCUGCAACCUGGUGGCUUCUGCGGGUAGCCUGGUGGCUGGGCCAUGCCCUGCUGGUCUAUGGGCUGCCCCAGAUUGGCCUGGGCCUUGGCAUUUCUCUCAGGAACAAGGGGCCUGGGCAGUGGUAACCGGGGCCACAAGCGGAAUCGGCAGGAGCUAUGCUCAUGAGCUGGCCCGAAGAGGCCUCAAUGUUGUACUGGUGAGCCGAGAUCUCAGCAAGUUACGUCGGGAGGCAGAGGACAUUGAGAGACUCCAUGGUAAGGAAACAAGAGUCAUCCAGGUGGACUUCAGUGGAGGCUUAGAGAUCUAUGAGACAGUUGAGAGAGGCUUGGAGGGCCUAGACAUCGGCAUUCUAGAGUUUCACAGACAUGAUGAAUUGUAACAUGCUGUCAAUGGUUCAGAUGACCCGGAUCAUCCUGCCUCAGAUGGUAGUCAGGGGACGAGGAGUCAUCAUCAACAUAUCCUCUGAGGCUGGCAGACAGCCUUCCCCAUUCUCGGCAUUAUAUGGGGCUACUAAGGCCUUUAUGAAUAGCUUCUCUCGGGCUGUGGCCUUGGAAUACCAGUCCUCUGGAGUCAUCAUACAGGUAUGGGUGUGGG